rnacentral:rRNA from 1 species
AGUGAACGCUGGCGGUAGGCCUAACACAUGCAAGUCGAACGGCAGCACAGUAAGAGCUUGCUCUUACGGGUGGCGAGUGGCGGACGGGUUAGGAAUACAUCGGAAUCUACUUUUUCGUGGGGGAUAACGUAGGGAAACUUACGCUAAUACCGCAUACGACCUACGGGUGAAAGCAGGGGAUCUUCGGACCUUGCGCGAUUGAAUGAGCCGAUGUCGGAUUAGCUAGUUGGCGGGGUAAGGGCCCACCAAGGCGACGAUCCGUAGCUGGUCUGAGAGGAUGAUCAGCCACACUGGAACUGAGACACGGUCCAGACUCCUACGGGAGGCAGCAGUGGGGAAUAUUGGACAAUGGGCGCAAGCCUGAUCCAGCCAUACCGCGUGGGUGAAGAAGGCCUUCGGGUUGUAAAGCCCUUUUGUUGGGAAAGAAAAGCAGCAGGUUAAUACCCCGCUGUUCUGACGGUACCCAAAGAAUAAGCACCGGCUAACUUCGUG